rnacentral:rRNA from 1 species
AUUGAACGCUGGCGGCAUGCCUUACACAUGCAAGUCGAACGGUAACAGGUCUUCGGAUGCUGACGAGUGGCGAACGGGUGAGUAAUACAUCGGAACGUGCCUAGUAGUGGGGGAUAACUACUCGAAAGAGUGGCUAAUACCGCAUGAGAUCUACGGAUGAAAGCAGGGGAUCGCAAGACCUUGCGCUACUAGAGCGGCCGAUGGCAGAUUAGGUAGUUGGUGGGAUAAAAGCUUACCAAGCCGACGAUCUGUAGCUGGUCUGAGAGGACGAUCAGCCACACUGGGACUGAGACACGGCCCAGACUCCUACGGGAGGCAGCAGUGGGGAAUUUUGGACAAUGGGCGCAAGCCUGAUCCAGCAAUGCCGCGUGCAGGAUGAAGGCCUUCGGGUUGUAAACUGCUUUUGUACGGAACGAAAAGCCCCGGGUUAAUACCCUGGGGUCAUGACGGUACCGUAAGAAUAAGCACCGGCUAACUACGUGCCAGCCGCCGCAGUAACAC